GCUGGCGGCACGCCUAACACAUGCAAGUCGAACGAAGUAGCAAUACUUAGUGGCAGACGGGUGAGUAACAUGUAGGUAUCUGCCCUUUGGCCUGGAAUAACACGAGGAAACUUGUGCUAAUACCGGAUAAGUCUUUACGGAGAAAGCUUUAUGCACCAUUGGAUGAGCCUGCACUUGAUUAGUUUGUUGGUAGGGUAAUGGCCUACCAAGACUGUGAUCAAUAGCUGAUUUGAGAGGAUGAUCAGCCACAUUGGGACUGAGACACGGCCCAAACUCCUACGGGAGGCAGCAGUGGGGAAUCUUGCACAAUGGAGGAAACUCUGAUGCAGCGAUGCCGCGUGAGUGAAGAAGGCCCUUGGGUUGUAAAGCUCUUUCGUCGGGGAAGAAAAUGACUGUACCCGAAUAAGAAGGUCCGGCUAACUUCGUGCCAGCAGCCGCGGUAAUACGAAGGGACCUAGCGUAGUUCGGAAUUACUGGGCUUAAAGAGUUCGUAGGUGGUUGAAAAAGUUGGUGGUGAAAUCCCAGAGCUUAACUCUGGAACUGCCAUCAAAACUUUUCAGCUAGAGUUUGAUAGAGGAAAGCAGAAUUUCUAGUGUAGAGGUGAAAUUCGUAGAUAUUAGAAAGAAUACCAAUUGCGAAGGCAGCUUUCUGGAUCAUUACUGACACUGAGGAACGAAAGCAUGGGUAGCGAAGAGGAUUAGAUACCCUCGUAGUCCAUGCCGUAAACGAUGUGUGUUAGACGUUGGAAAUUUAUUUUCAGUGUCGCAGCGAAAGCGAUAAACACACCGCCUGGGGAGUACGACCGC
rnacentral:rRNA from 1 species